UUUUUUAAAUAUUUAUUUCUUUUAGUUAUUGGCGGACACAACAUCUUUGGUUUUUUUUUGUAUGUGGUUCUGAGGAUCGAACCCGGGCCGCACGCAUGCCAGGCGAGUGCACUACCGCUUGAGCUACAUCCCCAGCCCUACUUAUUGAUUUUUUUGUGGUACUGAGGUUCAAACCCAGUGCCUCAUGCAUGCUAGGCAAGCAUUGUUGUUACUGAGCUGCACACUCAGCCCCUAUAAGCAUGCUUUAAAAGGCAUAGCUUCUGGGAAGCUUUUAUAAUAGGAAUUUUUCCAGUAUGCUUUGCUCAGUUUUAACUAUUUUAACUAAAGGUCAUUGUGAUUCGCUCUCCAGAAGAAAUAAACCUAGAAAACUAAAAGAUUGACUUCCAGAUAAAACAAAUUGAAUGUUUUCUUAUGUCAUGGUUGUGCUAAUAUAGUUUUAUAUGUGUAUGCUUUAGAUUUCAGAAGAAGAAGGAAGCUUCCUUUCCUAAGACAAUUCUGAGCCACGGAAUGGAUAACCGCUACCUGGUGUUAGCAGUCAAUACAGUACAGAAUAAAGAAGGAAACUAUGAAAAACGCCUAAUCAUCACUGCUUCCCA
rnacentral:lncRNA from 1 species